UACGGAGGGAGCUAGCGUUGUUCGGAAUUACUGGGCGUAAAGCGUACGUAGGCGGUUAUUCAAGUCAGAGGUGAAAGCCCGGGGCUCAACCCCGGAACUGCCUUUGAAACUAGAUAGCUAGAAUCUUGGAGAGGUCAGUGGAAUUCCGAGUGUAGAGGUGAAAUUCGUAGAUAUCGGAAGGAACACCGGUGGCGAAAGCGGCGCGCUGGAUCUCUUCUGACGCUGAGGCGCGAAAGCCAGGGGAGCGAACGGG
rnacentral:rRNA from 1 species